GUACAUUUAUAAUGAAUUAAUUUGUUUUUAAAUAUGUCAUUUAUUUUUCUGUAUUGCAUCUCAAAGAUCACCAAAUACGCUUUGUUGCUACAACCAAUACCUGAACAAUGUUACCAACACCUGUACAGAAUGUUCACGCGGACGCAUAGGCUGGAAUUGCAAAUUAGUUUGUCCAUCCGGAUUUUACGGACAGAUUUGUCGUUUCCCUUGUGAAUGCGACGCUGUGGAGUGUCAUCGCGUGACAGUAUGUGAAAGGACACGUGUUGUAGAAUCCGGUUCUGUGCCGAACAAACGAAGUACACUCUUUUAUAAAAAGCGAAAGAUUUUCUUUGAUUGGAAAGUCUUUUGGCUUCCUUUUAUUGGUGCAAUUUUCUGCUUUGUUUCCGUCGGUUUGCUGCUUCUCAUCACCUUGCGGAAGAUGAAUUUAAACUUUUGUUUUCCUUACAUAUCGCUUCUACGAGGGGUAUUCGUGCCAUGCUUUAACGCAAAUAAUCAGAGACAGACGACUCAAGAAGAUAUUGAACUAGCUACCAUCAGCUCAACAUCACAAUGUCCAAAUGAAGAAUCAAUAUCGGAAGAAAACAGAACUGAAAUAAAAUGUUCUCGACCUCAUACCUUACGUGACGUUUGUUUCGGAACAAAUGCUAUGCUUACAUGUUAUUCAGAUGAAGCCCAUAUAGUUUCAAACAGAAACCAUGUUUCUCAAUUAUAUAAUAAUGAAAACGAAUACGAUCAUGUCAACCUCCGAAUACCAAAUUGUGUGUUAGAUAGUUCUUUGUUAUACAGCAAACCAUUUAAAAGAGAUGCACGAUCCCAAAUUAAUGUACGUUCUUGGAAUCUGACUCUUCAUAGAAACUCAAAAAACGAGUGCAACAAAAUUGAACCAUUGAUCAGUAAUCUAAAUUUUUCGCUCCCUGACAUCAGACUUCUUGAACGCUUCAAAACAGGACAUUUUAAAGAAAAGGAAAAAUAUCAUUGUGUAUAAAGUUUU